GGAUGAAGAACGCAGCGAAACGCGAUAUGUAAUGUGAAUUGCAGAAUUCAGUGAAUCAUCGAAUCUUUGAACGCACAUGGCGCCUUCCAGUAUCCUGGGAGGCAUGCCUGUCCGAGCGUCGUUUCAACCCUCGAGCCCCCGUGGCCCGGCGUUGGGGAUCUGCCCAGGCAGUCCCCGAAAACCAGUGGCGGACCCGUUACAGGCCCUUCCCUUGCGUAGUAGCAUUCGCCUCGCAUCGGGAGCCAGCGGGCUUCCAGCCUCUAAACCCCCAUCAAGUCCGCCCCGGCGGCACCAAGGUUGACCUCGGAUCAGGUAGGAAUACCCGCUGAACUUAAGCAUAUCAAUAAGCGGAGGA
rnacentral:misc_RNA from 1 species